rnacentral:lncRNA from 1 species
CAGCCUGGUGGGGAAGAUGCCCAAGCACAGUAACAGAGUGAUAUGUCCUUUGAUGGGGCAGAGAGGGUGCCCAGAAUGGCACUGACUUAGUCUUCACUGAAGGAAAUGGUACGUUUCCUUAUUGCCAUGCUUAGAUACAAAUAAUGGAUUUUGUUUUCCCACCCGCACCCUCUCCACUAUAUAAAUAAUGACUUCGCAAUUAGGAAUCUUAUAUUUCAGGAGGUAUCAUAGGUGGUCCACGGUUAUAUGGUCACUCAAAGAUGCCAUCAGAAAUUUUGCUCAUCCAUAACAUGAAGCUCCUGUCCUCAUGGUUACAAAAUGGCCCUUAAAAUUCCAGGAACCAACUCAACAUUCCAAGCAGGAGCAAGAGCAGGGACAGAUGGUAAAGUGCCAGAGGAAGCUGUAAGAUAUUUUCCAGAAUUUCAACAUUGUCUUUAUAUCUUUCUAGCUCAUGUCCUGAGUCUACUCUGGAUACAGAAGUGGAAGAAUCACCUUCAAACAUGCUAGGAAUGUGCCCUGGAUGUCAACACAUGACUGUGACACAGACCAAAGAGACCCCAACCCAGAUAAAUCUUCCUGCUUCUGGCCCCCUCCACCACCAUAGCCUCAUACUUACUGGAGGACAGAGGAGCUGGAUGAUUCUUCCACAGCCCCAGGACUCAGGUCCUGGCUCCAAACUCUCCACCCUCCCAGCCACAAAGGAGCCCAUAGCAUGGGCAUGACAUCCUCAUGUGGAUCAAUUAGGCAAAAAGGCAAGACAGAGCCUGCCCCAACCCUCCACAUGUAAUUAUCAUCUGUGUGUGAAUGUACGGAGUGAAAGGCGGGGGAAGACGUGAUGAAUGCUGGGCUGGAGGGAGGUGUAGGAAAGAUUUCUAUUAAAAAAACUGUCUCACCCAGCCUGAGGGGUGGUGGCACAGGAGAAACACCUGUGGGUAAUGGGAGAGUGGGGACAGAGCAGACAGAGGUGGUGCGGAUAACCCAUUUCAGGUUUCUUCUAAUGUUAGUGUGUGCCCGGCUGAAGUGAGUGCUCAGGUGUCUCCCAAGACAAUAUCAGGAGUUAGCCACCAUUUCAGGACUGCUCAGCAAGGAAACCACUUGGAGCCUGUGGCUGCAGUUAAAUUGGGGACCAGUUGUCCCUGAGAGCAGCACUCUCAUCUGAGAAAUGUGGGAAAUCAUCAGCCAUCUUAGCAAAAUGGGGCAGGGAGCAGUGGAUGGGAGGAGGCCAGAAGCCAAGGUGAGAAGGUGGCUACCAGCUUCCAGACCACAUAGAGAGAAAGGGAACUCCUGUUUAUCAGUCAUGGGUUGACUGAGAGCGGUGCUUAAGAAGACACUACUUGGCUUUGAGAACCAGGUGUUUUUUUUUUUUUUUUUUUUUUUUAUCUCUUCCCUCAAAAGAUCAAGGAAAUAGAAAUUCUUUAAGUAAGUCUUGUCCCCAGGUGCUGCUAUGCUAGAAUUCAUUCAGUAGGGAGAGAUGUGGAAACUUUAUCUCUUUCUCUUCUUCCAAGAUGAGUUUACAUAGGUAUUGAAUUUGACAAGUCACUAAAAAUUAUUUGAAUUCCUAAAAAACAAUAUAGACACCCCCAAAUGAAAAAUAGAACUUU